rnacentral:pre_miRNA from 1 species
AUAGACUCUACAUGUAUUUCUAUAACAGGGUCAUAAGUGCCACAAUAUAAAUGCAUGUUUUUGUCUAUAC